rnacentral:rRNA from 1 species
AUUGAACGCUGGCGGCAUGCCUUACACAUGCAAGUCGAACGGCAGCGGGGGAGAAGCUUGCUUCUCCUGCCGGCGAGUGGCGAACGGGUGAGUAAUACAUCGGAACGUGCCCUGUAGUGGGGGAUAACUAGUCGAUAGAUUAGCUAAUACCGCAUACGACCUGAGGGUGAAAGUGGGGGACCGCAAGGCCUCAUGCUAUAGGAGCGGCCGAUGUCUGAUUAGCUAGUUGGUGGGGUAAAGGCCUACCUAGGCGACGAUCAGUAGCUGGUCUGGGAGGACGAUCAGCCACACUGGGACGGGGACACGGCCCAGGCUCCUACGGGAGGCAGCAGUGGGGAAUUUUGGACAAUGGGCGAAAGCCUGAUCCAGCAAUGCCGCGUGUGUGAAGAAGGCCUUCGGGUUGUAAAGCACUUUUGUCCGGAAAGAAAUGGCUCUGGUUAAUACCUGGGGUCGAUGACGGUACCGGAAGAAUAAGGACCGGCUAACUACGUGCCAGCCGCCGCGGUAA